UUCUUCCCUUUGUAAAUCUUUAGAAAAGGAGCAACAAUUUGUGAAUAAUUUGCAAUAAAUUUGCGAUAAUAAUUAGUCAAUCCAAGAAAUGACUGUAAAUCAUGAACAGUUUGGGGGGCCGGGACGUUUUGUAUGGCCUCCAGCUUGCUAGACUGAGGUCUUAUUCCCUCUGAGCGGAUGGCAUGGCCCAGGUAAUCUACUUUGUCCUUAAAAAAGUUACACUUCUCCAUCUUAAGAGUCAGUUUGGCUUCCUUUAAGCGAUCCAGAAUUUGUUCUAAGUUAUCUGCGUGAUUAGAAAAUAUAUCGCCCAGGAUAAUUAUGUCAUCAAGGUACACCUGAACCUUGUUGCUUAAUAGUCCUGUAAGGACAGUGUUUAUUAUUUUCUUGCAGCAGGACGGGGCUGUUUUAAGGCCAAAGGGGAGGGAAGUAAAUUCCCAAUGUCCUGCUGGAGAAGAAAAUGCCAUCUUCUCUCUGCUGAUUUCAUCUUGGGGGAUUUGAUGGUAACCCUGUUUCAAGUCUAGGCAUGAAAAAAAAACUUACUAUCUCCCAGUUGAUUGAGUAUGGUAGUUAUAUUAGGGAGUGGGUACCGGUCGUCCCGUAGUGUUUUAUUUUGUGCCCGGAAGUCCAGACAAAGUCGUAGUACUCCAUCUUUUUUGGGCACUGUGAUAAGUGGGGCAUUACAGGGUGAUCGCGAAGGGCGAAUCACACCCUGUAGCUAGAGCGAUAUAAGUUGUUCAUUUACUCUGUCAUGAUAACUGAUAGGAAUGUUAUAUGGACGCCUGUACACUACUUCAUCAGUGUUUUGCUUGAUGGUGCUUAAAAAAAUAGGGCGUUACUGUUAAUGGUUCUUGUUCUGUGGAAAACACUGUUAUAUAUUUAUCUAUUAAGGACUUUAAAACCUAAUUCUCUCUCUUCACUUGGGAAUUUAGCGUCAACAAUUUGAUUGAGGCUUUUCUUCCUUACUUCAAGCUCUGCGGGCUUCAAGUCUGUUUUAGCUGUGUCAGCGGUCUGUACACUAGAUACUUGUGGCAGAUCAGCGUAUAGCUCAUGAGUGACAGGAUUCACAAAUCCUAGCGUUGUAUUAUCAUCUAGCUUUACACUCACUUUCAAUAUUCAAAUACGGCACAGUGACAUAAGAUCUUUGAUUGUCAGAUGAAGGGGUUAACUUAACUAUCCCUGAGCACAAGACUCUAGCCUGAGGAGUACUAACACAAGGCUCAAAUAAAGCUUCACUUGCCUGUAGUUGCGUCACUAGCGUUAUGUAACCUGCAACAGAUGCAUGCAGUUGCAAAGGUUCAGCUGCUUGGCAACGUACGGCCUUAUUUUCAGUGAGACAUUCUUCAUUUCCAUCUACAUUUAGCUAAGAUCCUUCACCUCUAGAUAUAAGACAUAUUUUUCCUGGCAUAAUUGUAUGGUUUCCCCUUCUAUUAUCAGUUUUAAGCUUCGUUCUUUUGUUCCUCAUUUAGUUGCAAUAUUUUCAAAAUAAUCUCGUGCUACACGACAAAUCAGUACUCAACAUAAUAUGAGUCGGCAAAUCUACAUCGCGUGUUAUCAAUAAGUCUUGGAAACUACUUUUUCCUUCCAUAUUAACUUGUCUUUUACCGUCAUUUUCAAUAUGGUAUCUUUGCACAGAGACAAUAUUCACGGGUUUCGCUUCACAGUUAUUUACUGCGAGCCCUAAUUCUUUAAUAAAUUCAUCCGUUAAAAACUCACACACGCUCCUGUUUCUUGGAGUGCUGCCACUUUUGCAUAUGUGUUAUCAUGAGUAGUGCGAUCUGCCUAACAAAGUUACUCUUGAGUUAUGUUGAUUAUAGCCUUCUUUUCAUUAUUUUUAAGGUCACUCCCUUGUUCGCUAUAGCCUUCUUUUCCUUAUAUUUAAGUGAGGCGGUUACUCCCUUGUUCGUUAUAGCCUUCAUCUCAUUAUAUUAAAGGUUACUCCCUUGUUCGUUAUAGCCUUCAUCUUAUUAUAUUAAAGGUUACUCCCUUGUUCGUUAUAGCCUUCAUCUUAUUAUAUUAAAGGUUACUCCCUUGUUCGUUAUAGCCUUCAUCUUAUUAUAUUAAAGGUUACUCCCUUGUUCGUUAUAGCCUUCAUCUUAUUAUAUUAAAGGUUACUCCCUUCUUCGUUAUAGCCUUCAUCUUAUUAUAUUAAAGGUUACUCCCUGUUUUGUUCUUCGCUCAUUUUCCGUUUUUUCCACUGCAAGUGUGCAUAUUUAUUUAUUUAUUUAUUUAUUUUCAUUUGUUUAUUUAAUGUUAUUUGUAGUAGAUAACUGAGGGGGGCAGUACCCUGGCCUCCUCUUCCUCUGAUUCUCUUACUUCACACAUUUAUCUUAAUACUUCACACUAUUGUCCAUAUGCUUCAUUUUUUUUUUUUUUCAUUCAUGACUUUUUAUCCAUACCUCACACUUUUCUUAGUAUUUCACAUUUUUUCUAGAUCAUACUCUACACUUCCUACCUGGGGGACGCGGGUUAGGCCUUUAUAAAGUCACUCUAUGGCUGCAUGUCCGCCGCGGCACACCACCACCCUGUGAGGCGUAGAGCCCCGUGCUCCCCUCCAUCCUGGGGUAACAAUCCUAAAACAAACAAACCUGAGAGGCAGGACGCUGCCGCUGCCUGUCA